CGCGUUAUACGAAAGGCCCUGAAUAACGACAAACCGGCGUAGAAUGUGACUAGAGAUCUAUAAUAUUUUAAAUAUUAAAAUUCAUUAGCCUAGUUGUAAAACACUUAGACAAUGGAGAAAACCAGCACAAAUAUUCUUAAUAUUAUAUUCUUGAUUACACGAAAGCUUAGAAACAAACUAGGAUUAGAUACCCUACUAUGCUAAGCCCUGAACAUUGGAAGUUACCUAUACUUUACUUUCCGCCAGAGAACUACGAGUGAAAAACUUAAAACUCAAAGGACUUGACGGUGUCCCAUAUCGG
rnacentral:rRNA from 1 species